GGGGAUAGCCCGGAGAAAUCCGGAUUAACACCGCAUGAAGACACAGUCCCGCAUGGGGCAAUGUCCCAAACAUUUAUGGGACCAAGAUGGGCAUGCGUGCCAUUAGCUAGUUGGCGGGGUAACGGCCCCACCAAGGCGACGAUGGCUAGGGGGAUCUGAGAGGAUGGGCCCCCCACACUGGUACUGAGACACGGACCCAGACUCCUACGGGAGGCAGCAGUAAAGGAAUAUUGGUCAAAUGGGGCGCGAGCCUGAACCCAGCCAUGCCGCGUGCAGGAAAGACGGCCCUUCCGGGUUGUAAAACUGCUUUUAUACCGGAAAUAAACCCUCCCUACGUGUAGGGAAGCUGAAAUGUACGGUAGGAAAUAAGGAUUCGGCUAAACUCCGUGCCCAGCAGCCGCGGUAAUACGGAGGAUCCGAGCGUUAUCCGGAUUUAUUGGGUUUAAAGGGUGCGUAGGCGGCCUGUUAAGUCAGGGGUGAAAGACGGUGGCUCAACCAUCGCAGUGCCCUUGAUACUGACGGGCUUGAAUCAACUAGAGGCAGGCGGAAUGUGACAAGUAGCGGUGAAAUGCAUAGAUAUGUCACAGAACACCGAUUGCGAAGGCAGCUUGCUAUGGUUGUAUUGACGCUGAG
rnacentral:rRNA from 1 species